GGGUUGUGAGGUUAAGCGACUAAGCGUACACGGUGGAUGCCCUGGCAGUCAGAGGCGAUGAAGGACGUGCUAAUCUGCGAUAAGCGUCGGUAAGGUGAUAUGAACCGUUAUAACCGGCGAUUUCCGAAUGGGGAAACCCAGUGUGUUUCGACACACUAUCAUUAACUGAAUCCAUAGGUUAAUGAGGCGAACCGGGGGAACUGAAACAUCUAAGUACCCCGAGGAAAAGAAAUCAACCGAGAUUCCCCCAGUAGCGGCGAGCGAACGGGGAGGAGCCCAGAGCCUGAAUCAGUGUGUGUGUUAGUGGAAGCGUCUGGAAAGGCGCGCGAUACAGGGUGACAGCCCCGUACACAAAAAUGCACAUGCUGUGAGCUCGAUGAGUAGGGCGGGACACGUGGUAUCCUGUCUGAAUAUGGGGGGACCAUCCUCCAAGGCUAAAUACUCCUGACUGACCGAUAGUGAACCAGUACCGUGAGGGAAAGGCGAAAAGAACCCCGGCGAGGGGAGUGAAAAAGAACCUGAAACCGUGUACGUACAAGCAGUGGGAGCACGCUUAGGCGUGUGACUGCGUACCUUUUGUAUAAUGGGUCAGCGACUUAUAUUCUGUAGCAAGGUUAACCGAAUAGGGGAGCCGAAGGGAAACCGAGUCUUAACUGGGCGUUAAGUUGCAGGGUAUAGACCCGAAACCCGGUGAUCUAGCCAUGGGCAGGUUGAAGGUUGGGUAACACUAACUGGAGGACCGAACCGACUAAUGUUGAAAAAUUAGCGGAUGACUUGUGGCUGGGGGUGAAAGGCCAAUCAAACCGGGAGAUAGCUGGUUCUCCCCGAAAGCUAUUUAGGUAGCGCCUCGUGAAUUCAUCUCCGGGGGUAGAGCACUGUUUCGGCAAGGGGGUCAUCCCGACUUACCAACCCGAUGCAAACUGCGAAUACCGGAGAAUGUUAUCACGGGAGACACACGGCGGGUGCUAACGUCCGUCGUGAAGAGGGAAACAACCCAGACCGCCAGCUAAGGUCCCAAAGUCAUGGUUAAGUGGGAAACGAUGUGGGAAGGCCCAGACAGCCAGGAUGUUGGCUUAGAAGCAGCCAUCAUUUAAAGAAAGCGUAAUAGCUCACUGGUCGAGUCGGCCUGCGCGGAAGAUGUAACGGGGCUAAACCAUGCACCGAAGCUGCGGCAGCGACGCUUAUGCGUUGUUGGGUAGGGGAGCGUUCUGUAAGCCUGUGAAGGUGUGCUGUGAGGCAUGCUGGAGGUAUCAGAAGUGCGAAUGCUGACAUAAGUAACGAUAAAGCGGGUGAAAAGCCCGCUCGCCGGAAGACCAAGGGUUCCUGUCCAACGUUAAUCGGGGCAGGGUGAGUCGACCCCUAAGGCGAGGCCGAAAGGCGUAGUCGAUGGGAAACAGGUUAAUAUUCCUGUACUUGGUGUUACUGCGAAGGGGGGACGGAGAAGGCUAUGUUGGCCGGGCGACGGUUGUCCCGGUUUAAGCGUGUAGGCUGGUUUUCCAGGCAAAUCCGGAAAAUCAAGGCUGAGGCGUGAUGACGAGGCACUACGGUGCUGAAGCAACAAAUGCCCUGCUUCCAGGAAAAGCCUCUAAGCAUCAGGUAACAUCAAAUCGUACCCCAAACCGACACAGGUGGUCAGGUAGAGAAUACCAAGGCGCUUGAGAGAACUCGGGUGAAGGAACUAGGCAAAAUGGUGCCGUAACUUCGGGAGAAGGCACGCUGAUAUGUAGGUGAAGUCCCUCGCGGAUGGAGCUGAAAUCAGUCGAAGAUACCAGCUGGCUGCAACUGUUUAUUAAAAACACAGCACUGUGCAAACACGAAAGUGGACGUAUACGGUGUGACGCCUGCCCGGUGCCGGAAGGUUAAUUGAUGGGGUUAGCGCAAGCGAAGCUCUUGAUCGAAGCCCCGGUAAACGGCGGCCGUAACUAUAACGGUCCUAAGGUAGCGAAAUUCCUUGUCGGGUAAGUUCCGACCUGCACGAAUGGCGUAAUGAUGGCCAGGCUGUCUCCACCCGAGACUCAGUGAAAUUGAACUCGCUGUGAAGAUGCAGUGUACCCGCGGCAAGACGGAAAGACCCCGUGAACCUUUACUAUAGCUUGACACUGAACAUUGAGCCUUGAUGUGUAGGAUAGGUGGGAGGCUUUGAAGUGUGGACGCCAGUCUGCAUGGAGCCGACCUUGAAAUACCACCCUUUAAUGUUUGAUGUUCUAACGUUGACCCGUAAUCCGGGUUGCGGACAGUGUCUGGUGGGUAGUUUGACUGGGGCGGUCUCCUCCUAAAGAGUAACGGAGGAGCACGAAGGUUGGCUAAUCCUGGUCGGACAUCAGGAGGUUAGUGCAAUGGCAUAAGCCAGCUUGACUGCGAGCGUGACGGCGCGAGCAGGUGCGAAAGCAGGUCAUAGUGAUCCGGUGGUUCUGAAUGGAAGGGCCAUCGCUCAACGGAUAAAAGGUACUCCGGGGAUAACAGGCUGAUACCGCCCAAGAGUUCAUAUCGACGGCGGUGUUUGGCACCUCGAUGUCGGCUCAUCACAUCCUGGGGCUGAAGUAGGUCCCAAGGGUAUGGCUGUUCGCCAUUUAAAGUGGUACGCGAGCUGGGUUUAGAACGUCGUGAGACAGUUCGGUCCCUAUCUGCCGUGGGCGCUGGAGAACUGAGGGGGGCUGCUCCUAGUACGAGAGGACCGGAGUGGACGCAUCACUGGUGUUCGGGUUGUCAUGCCAAUGGCACUGCCCGGUAGCUAAAUGCGGAAGAGAUAAGUGCUGAAAGCAUCUAAGCACGAAACUUGCCCCGAGAUGAGUUCUCCCUGACUCCUUGAGAGUCCUGAAGGAACGUUGAAGACGACGACGUUGAUAGGCCGGGUGUGUAAGCGCAGCGAUGCGUUGAGCUAACCGGUACUAAUGAACCGUGAGGCUUAACCUUACAACGCCGAAGCUGUU
rnacentral:rRNA from 1 species